GUCACCCUAUUGUCCCCCCAUUGUCCGCCCAUAGUCCCUCCAUUGUCCCCCUAUUGUGUCCCCAUAGUCAACCCAUAGUCCUACAGAUACAUAACUUGUUUUAAUUUUUUGAUGAAUAACUUUAGAUUUACUUCCUGAAAACUAUCUUUGUCCACAUCGUGUAUAUUAUCGGCCCUCGCUGCCCCGGAGGUCGGCGGCGUGUGACCUUUGACCAUAAAGGUCAAGAUCCUUUUACUCAAACAGCCACAGGAAUACUUGUACUGUGGAAUCUGAUGAAUUGGAACUUAAUGAAUUAAAUCACUUUAAAUUCAAUUGUGCUAAAUGCAUUUGCACACCAGAGGGAAGGCACAAGUAGCGUCCCCCCCCCCCCACCUCAGUUCUUUGAAGAUAGAGACACACUCAUCCACACACACAAACACAUCCACACACACACACACACACACACACACACACACUUCUGUCUUCACUUGUUUUGUUAUAAUUUCCCUGCUGAGAUGAUUCCUUAUUAUUUAAUUAGAGUAGGAAAUUCAUCUCGACGUGUGUAGCAGAAACAAACCCUGCCUUCACACACUAGUAAGAAGUGUGUUUUAGUAUGUGUGUGUGUGUGUGUGUGUGUGUGUGUGUGUGUGUGUCCCACCUGCCCUCAGCUUCCUCCGGCUCGUGAAUCAGGUUGACUGAGCGAGUCUCGUUUGAUUCAUGCCAGCGGGGGACAAAGUGUGUACAUGCAGCAUACACUAUGUGUGUGUGUGUGUGUGUGUGUGUGUGUGUGUGUGUGUGUGUGUGUGUGUUCGGGGCCCUCGGGGACAUGAGGGUGUAGGGAAGGUGUGAUUAUUCUAUACCACCAUAUUACGUGACGGAUUAGUGCAUCUACUGGGACACGUGAUGGAUAGAUCUCCACACCCGCCACGCACACACAGGGCGAUUAUCCUCACACACACACACACAAACACACACAGACACACACAUGCAGCGUCUGGCCGUUAUUUAAGAAAAGACAAAGCUUGACUGUUUAUUUGGUCCAGCGGGAGAUUACUGCCAAACUGUUUCUUUUACAAAACAUCCAAGUAGUUCUGUUCAUUUUUAUUUUCAGUUUACAACAUUAAGCCGGAAAUUCGGAUCUUCUCUAAGAGAGCAAGUUCUGUUUUGCUCUUCAAAUAAUGACACUUGAUGAAAUCCAGACUUCACGUGGAGUAGAUUGAUGGUGUUUUAGGAAUAAAAGGUGUUAUUUUACAGUUAUUGUUGUUACAUGAGGG
ensembl:lncRNA